GACGAACGCUGGCGGCGUGCUUAACACAUGCAAGUCGAGCGAGCAGAUUUCCUUCGGGGAUGAAGCUAGCGGCGGACGGGUGAGUAACACGUGGGCAACCUGCCUUAUAGAGGGGGAUAGCCUUCCGAAAGGAAGAUUAAUACCGCAUAACAUCAGAUUAUCGCAUGGUAGACUGAUCAAAGGAGCAAUCCGCUAUAAGAUGGGCCCGCGUCGCAUUAGCUAGUUGGUGAGGUAACGGCUCACCAAGGCGACGAUGCGUAGCCGACCUGAGAGGGUGAUCGGCCACAUUGGGACUGAGACACGGCCCAGACUCCUACGGGAGGCAGCAGUGGGGAAUAUUGCACAAUGGGGGAAACCCUGAUGCAGCAACGCCGCGUGAGUGAUGAAGGCCUUCGGGUUGUAAAGCUCUUUGAUCAGGGACGAUAAUGACGGUACCUGAAGAACAAGCCACGGCUAACUUCGUGCCAGCAGCCGCGGUAAAAC
rnacentral:rRNA from 1 species